rnacentral:rRNA from 1 species
CCUACGGGAGGCAGCAGUGGGGAAUAUUGCACAAUGGGGGAAACCCUGAUGCAGCGACGCCGCGUGAGUGAAGAAGUAAUUCGUUAUGUAAAGCUCUAUCAGCAGGGAAGAAAAUGACGGUACCUGAGUAAGACGCCCCGGCUAACUCCGUGCCAGCAGCCGCGGUCAUACGUAGGGGGCAAGCGUUAUCCGGAUUUACUGGGUGUAAAGGGAGCGUAGACGGCAGUGCAAGUCUGGAGUGAAAGGCGGGGGCUCAACCCCCGGACUGCUCUGGAAACUGUACGGCUGGAGUGCAGGAGAGGUAAGUGGAAUUCCUAGUGUAGCGGUGAAAUGCGUAGAUAUUAGGAGGAACACCAGUGGCGAAGGCGGCUUACUGGACUGUAACUGACGUUGAGGCUCGAAAGCGUGGGGAGCAAACAGGAUUAGAUACCCCUGUAGUC